ACUUGCAGAUUGUCUCAGUGACCCACCGACCUCACAUCAUAGUUCAAGCUGGCAGCCAGCAGGGCCUGAGUGUGGUUGGUUGAGCAUCUGGAUUUGGACUGAAGCUGUACAUCUUGGGUUCUUUUCAGCUUUUCUACCAGGUUGCCCAUUGUAUUUUGGACAUACUGAUGAAAAGCUGACUAACAGGAGGCUACCAAGCACAGGGAUUCUAAGGAAGUGCAUUAUCUCUGUGGUUGAUGUAUCUCCUUCUGAUGCACAACUACCUGAGAGAAGCCCCAUCUCUGCUCAACUCCCAGACCUCGUAGAAGGCUCUUCCUACUUCUUCCAGAAAUGAUUAACUCCCACACUGCUAGUAGGGAUGCCUCAGGCAGCUGGAUGUCUCAGCAGAGAGAGGCAUUCCAGAUUCCAAAUUGCAACUGGUGGUGGAUUCUUAACUAGGGUUCCUGGUCAGAAUUCAGGAGAAUGGUCAGAGAAUUUGGAGAAGAAAAUUACAUCUCUGUAUUCACUAAUCUCUAAAACCAAAAAUGUAUAAUUUUCAAUUAUAAAACAUAAACAAAAAAGGAAAAAAAAUCACAUAAUAUUAACAGUAUCUUUGACUUUGUCACAAAUAGAAUCAAUUCCUUUCCUAUAUAUAUAUCAGUUGUUGCAAAUCUUGAAAUACUAUGUACACUGAGUACUACUUAAAAAUUAGGAUUAUUAAACCUGCUAUUAGAUUUGUGUUAACAUGCAGACAUGUUAUUGAAUGUAUUACUAAAGAAACACGUGUUACAUCACAACUCUGUUUAAAAACAUUUUUAUAACUAUCUUUCAAAAAGUAGUUUUCUUUAGUAUCCUAUGGCUUUUAUUUAACUGAUUACAAAAAAAGGGGUCCACGCUUUUACCAGAUAGCCAAAAGUGUCUAUGGCACGAAAAGGGGAGCAACUCUG